rnacentral:tRNA from 1 species
GCUGUAGCUCAGUGGCAGAGCACUUGCCUAGCAUGCAUGAGGCACUGGGUUCAAUUCUCAGCACUGCA